rnacentral:misc_RNA from 1 species
AAGUCGUAACAAGGUUUCCGUAGGUGAACCUGCGGAAGGACCAUUAACACGUAUCCACGUACCAACCCUAGUGUCACGAGUGCGCGCCUAGCGCGUGCUCAGUUUUCUUUUUCACCUUCCACAAUGAAUUUUAACCACUUGAACCCAUCAGACUAAACUAUUUCGUGCUUUUUGCGGAAAAGCCGGAACAAUAAAAUAACAAGAAACAACUCUUAGCGACGGAUUUCUUGGCUCCC